UCAGAGACCGCGCUAUUGACUGAUGCGCGAGUUCCCAACACAAGUUACCUGCUCAAUCCAGGCGGCGGCCCGUCCGCGUAGCUGAUUUGGGCUGCAGAACAUUUUUGGGUCUGUAGCUCAGUUAGUUAGAGCGCACCCCUGAUAAGGGUGAGGUCGGAGGUGCAACUCCUCCCAGACCCACCAUGGGGCCAUAGCUCAGCUGGGAGAGCGACUGGUUUGCAACCAGUAGGUCGUCGGUUCGAUCCCGACUGGCUCCACCAACCUCUUGAGCUUCUGCCCGCCUGGGCGAACUACAGAAUUGAUCGCGCGGAGAUUCACGCUCCGAGCGCUCUUUAACAAUCCGGAAAAGUUUUUUGUUUUGACGCUAAGUUUUCAAGCGAAAUUGAUUAAUUGAGCACCGUGAGGUGCGACUGUUAAGAGUUCGAUUGAAAAUGUCGCGUUCGCAUAAACGAUGAAUCAGCUAGUUAGGCUUGUUCAAUCCAGCAAUGGGUUGGCAAGCAACCUGUAACCCAGACUCCUUGGGGUUAUAUGGUCAAGCGAAUAAGCGCAUAUGGCGGAUGCCUUGGCGGUAGAAGGCGAUGAAGGACGUGGUAGCCUGCGAUAAGUGUCGGCGAGCUGGCAAACAAGCUUUGACCCGGCAAUUUCCGAAUGGGGAAACCCGG
rnacentral:misc_RNA from 1 species